rnacentral:rRNA from 1 species
CCGGCGGGGGUGCAUAUACAUGCAAGUCGAGCGAAUGGAUUAAGAGCUUGCUCUUAUGAAGUUAGCGGCGGACGGGUGAGUAACACGUGGGUAACCUGCCCAUAAGACUGGGAUAACUCCGGGAAACCGGGGCUAAUACCGGAUAACAUUUUGAACCGCAUGGUUCGAAAUUGAAAGGCGGCUUCGGCUGUCACUUAUGGAUGGACCCGCGUCGCAUUAGCUAGUUGGUGAGGUAACGGCUCACCAAGGCAACGAUGCGUAGCCGACCUGAGAGGGUGAUCGGCCACACUGGGACUGAGACACGGCCCAGACUCCUACGGGAGGCAGCAGUAGGGAAUCUUCCGCAAUGGACGAAAGUCUGACGGAGCAACGCCGCGUGAGUGAUGAAGGCUUUCGGGUCGUAAAACUCUGUUGUUAGGGAAGAACAAGUGCUAGUUGAAUAAGCUGGCACCUUGACGGUACCUAACCAGAAAGCCACGGCUAACUACGUGCCAGCAGCCGCGGUAAUACGUAGGUGGCAAGCGUUAUCCGGAAUUAUUGGGCGUAAAGCGCGCGCAGGUGGUUUCUUAAGUCUGAUGUGAAAGCCCACGGCUCAACCGUGGAGGGUCAUUGGAAACUGGGAGACUUGAGUGCAGAAGAGGAAAGUGGAAUUCCAUGUGUAGCGGUGAAAUGCGUAGAGAUAUGGAGGAACACCAGUGGCGAAGGCGACUUUCUGGUCUGUAACUGACACUGAGGCGCGAAAGCGUGGGGAGCAAACAGGAUUAGAACCUGGGG